CAACAGCUCACUCUCUUCUUCUACAACUUCAACAACUCACUCUCUUCUUCUACAACUUCAACAACUCACUCUCUUCUUCUACAACUUCAACAACUCACUCUCUUCUUCUACAACUUCAACAACUCUCUUCUUACUAUACAACUAUACGUCUGGCUUAACCCUUACCCUAAACGUAACAACGUCUAACAUUAAUGUUGGUUAAACCAGAACACAAACGUGUUUUCCGGAGGGUUCCACAGAAAGCCCAUAAAGGGGGUGGCGAGACGCAUGUGUCCCCCAGGCAGCUGAUAGCAGCUGAUAGCCGCUGGUCUAAAUAUAGACCCGCCACCGCGCUGCCACGCCGAGCCGCGCUGCCACCCCGAGCCUCCAUAAACUGCCACCGCUGCCACCCCGAGCCUCCACAAACUGCCACCCCGAGCCUUCACAAACUGCCACGCCGAGCCUCCGCGGCUGCUCUUACUGCUCCGCCGCUUUACUUUCUCUUGUGUCUCUCAGCAGAACACCAUGAACAAGACAAAGAUAGUCAGGCCAGAGGAGAGCCAGCCGGCACGGGCGCUGUGGUUUGACAGGAAAAAAUAUGUCACCAUCAACUUCAUGGUGCAGAGACCUCGGGAUGUGCAGGUUGACAUCCAGCCAGACAAGAUGAUUCUGUGCUGCAAAAAUGAUGAAGAUGACGUAAUCUACAAUGAGCUGUAUUUCUAUGACAAAAUCCAAAUAUAUGACUCCAGAGAAAGAGUGUACGACCGCAGCAUCAACAUGUUGCUGAGGAAGAUGACGCCAGAUGUUGCGUGGCCUCGUCUUCAGAAAGAUCCUGCCAAGCCCAGCUGGAUUACAGUGGAUUUUGAUAACUGGAGGGACUGGGCACAUGAGGAAGAUGAGGGAAUGGCAGAAUAUGACCAUUAUAUGGAUGAGUGCAUGUUGUAGGAAGAAGUGACAGGACUGCUAAACUCUGAUUGGUGGAUCACUGUGUCAGUCAUUAUUUUGCCAACUCAUUUCAUGGCCUGGCUGUAUGUUAUAGAUGCUGCAUGACAUGGCUGACCAGAGGAAAGGACAGGCUCCAGACAUGGGUGAUCUGAGUGACUCGGACUGAAAACCACGUUCCUGGAGCCGAACCUGUGCGACCAUGAAGACGAGCAUCCAUGCCUGCCAGGAAAUAACACAACAUAAAGUGAAAUAACACAACAUAUGGGGAAAUAACACCACAACAUACACUGAAACAACACAACAUACGGUGUCCUGUGUGGCAGGUUUUCUAUUUGUUUGCUGAUGGUUUCAACAUUUGCCGUGUCUUAUUCAGAACGUGUUUGUGUCUCUGGUAUUUUGUACAGUGUUGUGUGAACUUGGUGUCCUACACUGUGUUGUUACCUGCAUGACGCCUCAGUCAGGACUUUCUUCCUUCCUUCCUUAGUGCUUUUAUUCCUCUUUAGACAUAAAAAACCUUUUUGAGCUUCUUUUUUUAAACAGCUUUUCACACGUCCACUGAGGUGGACGGCCUGCGUCUCAGCUUUCAGCUGGGGGAAAGUGUCGUUACCACACCAACCAAUAAAAUGAUGAAUUACGUG